rnacentral:lncRNA from 1 species
CAAUUUCGAGUGCAAGUGCCACAGUGUCAGCUAAAGAAACACAACUGCGGGUUUUCUGCAGAGCAAAAUGGUUCUGAAAUGUCACUGAAUAGCUCACAAAGGACGCCAAUCUACGACAACAGAGACAUAAGCAUAUAGGAGAAAGGGUCCACACAUCCUCCUUUCAAAGGUCACAGAAAGCUUGCUGCAGAUCAGGAAAUGUCUUCAGUUUCCAAAGCCUCUCAUAGCAUGUGGAGAAAAGAGAGAGAAAGGGAGAGAAGAGUCAUGGACCCUACUUUAUGGUUGCCAUGGAUGCAAGGUCAGCCUUCCACACUUGGAUCUACCAGCAGAGUUCAGACAGGUCAACGUGUGACCGGCUCAGGCCCUGGGGUUAAAAGUUCAAGCAGCUAUGGAAAAACCAAUAUGUCCACGCAGAGUAUGCUGUACAAUUUAUUUCAAUUUACAUCAAGCCAUGCAUAUAAAAUUUAGAUAAAUUCCAUUCAGAUCUGAUGUUGCCUGACACACAAUGUAUGCAAACAGAUGUCUGUGGGGCUUUUUCUGUGCUUUAGAAAACAACAUUAAAUUUAAAAAUAUGUCUCUGGGAUUUCUUUAUUGAAUUACAAAAUGAACAUAAUUUUAACUUAAAUGUUUUCAUUCUUUUUUCCAAUUUUUUUGUGUGGGGGUCUUAAUAAUUUCUCAGUUCUCAAUCUACUCUAUGUCAUAUUAAAGAGGAUAAUGUAUAUUUACAA